rnacentral:lncRNA from 10 species
UUGACUAGUAGAAGGUGGAAGUGAUAUUAUGCCAGGUCCAGACUUAGGCCUUAGGAGGCCUGGCAGUUUCCAUUUUCACCCUCUUGGGAUCCAGCCACUAUGAAACCAAGUUCACCUGCUUUAUUGGAGAGAGAAAUGACCUAGAAGAUGAAAGACAGCAAAGGGAGAGCAGGAUGCCCAGCCAGCCACCAGCCAUUCUGACCCCUUCAGCUGAGGCACUGCAUGGACUCCUGAACCUGGAACGGCAGUGUCAAAGGGUUCACAAAAUGUUAGACUUCUGAAGCAAAUCAGAUGGCACCUUUUUUGAAUAAUGAAGAAUCUUUACCCCUGGCAUGAGGAGCUGAGGACAACUCCCACUCCACGAUGUGAAGCCACAGAGUUUCGAGGCCCCAGGACCUCCAGCGUCAAUGUUGUGGGAUGAUGGGUGACAGAGCCAAAGCAUCGCCAUCUUGGACAAGCACGGUCAUUCUGAAGUUCCCCUUGAUCAAAAACUGCCUAAACCCAAAGGAUAUCAGCCUGAUGGCUAAGGUCAGCAUGACCAUAAACCAUAAAUAACAUCUCUGACCAGGAACAUUCCAAACCCCUCCAUGAGACAUGCCAGCCCUGAGAUAACCUCCCCUCCGGCCAGAAAGAUGUCAGACCCAAGAUAACCUCCCCUCCGACCAGAGACAUCCCAACCCUGCCAUAAACUUCUCCCCCACACAGAAACAUUCUGAGCUUGUAAUAAGCCCCCUCAUCCUAAAACCAAUAUAUACUCUUAGUCCGUAAGAGAAAGUGCUCCUGAACAAAAUUGGCCAGAAGCCCCUCUCCGGCUUAUUUUCUCUAAAAUACAUCUGUCGUUAAAUUGAGCCACAGUUCGUGUUUCUUCCCUCUUUCUUUAACUCUUACAAUGGGAAGCAAACUUUUUUAGUGGGUUAUUAGGAAUAAUAGUGAAAAGCAUAAUUCUCCUCUCCAGGCCUUGCUUCCUGGACCCACACAUCUCACCUGUGGGGAAGAUGGAACCAUAUAUUGGCCACUGGUUUAAUGUACAAGAUGUGUCUCCAGUCCCAAUGGUAGACAUCCUAUAGCCAAGACUCCAUCCAAUUGCCUGACCUCCACAUGUCCCUACUCUGACUGGAACCUUGUGGGUAGUUUAGGUCUCUGAGGAUCAGUCAAGCUCAGAGCAAGAUUGAAUAACCCCUGGAAGGUGUGGAUAUUCCUAUUUCCCCAGGAUCAGAGGCAUAUUUACCAUAAAGCUAAUGAUGCUUAUGCUUCAAGACUGCUCACUUACUAAAGCCCUGGUGUUAACAUGAUCAUAUGCAUUUAUAAAAUUUGCAAACAUAAAAAAUUUUUUAGUUGGGCUUUAUUUUUUUUUUAAUAUUUUUCAUUUUUCGAGAUGGAGUUUUGCUCUUGUUGCCCAGGCUGGAGUGCAG